ACUGAUGUUCUCUCCGGCAGUUCCUUCCACUCUAAAGAGACUCCUUUUCAUCCCUCUUCUCGCCUUUCCUAGCCCAGCCUAGUGCCCACCCUCCCCCGACCAUGCCUCCCCUGCACCUGGGGAGGGGGAGGACCAGUCCUGGGCGUGAUGCUCUGAGACGGUGGUGAAAUCCACCAGGCUGCUUUCACUCCGGCUCGCUCUCGGGAGAGUCCUGUUCCAGACUUCUCAGGGUUUUUACAGCACAAACAACUGCAUACGGCCCGAGGGGAGGCUGAAAAGGACUUGUGUGUGGUGGUUUUAUUGCCUGUCAUCACUUUGCUGGCCUCCUCCCGACUGGAGCCUGGAGGUUCACAGUGGAUUUCUUUCUGCCGAAGACACCAAGGCACUGAGGAAGGAUCCCUUCUCCUUCUGUUGACUCUUUCUAUUUUUAUGGAAACCUGGAGGAAGGCAAUUCAGGACUAGUUCAGCAGCUCAAGGAAGGCCUCCAGGAUACAGGCUUCUUCUACUGUCCUAAACAUGUUUAAGUUUAUCUAUUCAUGGGGCUGAAAAGUGUU
rnacentral:sRNA from 1 species